AACGAACGCUGGCGGCAUGCCUAACACAUGCAAGUCGAACGAGACCUUCGGGUUUAGUGGCGCACGGGUGCGUUACGCGUGUGAACCUGCCCUUAGGUUCGGAAUAACUCCCCGUAAGAGGUGCUAAUACCGGAUAAUGUCUUCGCACCAAAGAUUUAUCGCCUUUGGAUGGGCCCGCGUUGGAUUAGCUAGUUGGUAGGGUAAAAGCCUACCAAGGCGACGAUCCAUAGCUGGUCUGAGAGGAUGAUCAGCCACACUGGGACUGAGACACGGCCCAGAAUCCUACGGGAGGCAGCAGUGGGGAAUAUUGGACAAUGGACGAAAGCAUGAAACAGCAAUGCCGCGUGAGUGAUGAAGGCAUUAGGGUUGUAAAGCUCUUUUACCCGGAAUGAUAAUGACAGUACCGGGAGAAUAAGCUCCGGCUAACUCCGUG
rnacentral:rRNA from 1 species